UACGGGGGGAGCAAGCGUUGUUCGGAUUUACUGGGCGUAAAGGGCGCGUAGGCGGUCUGUUAAGUUCGGUGUGAAAGCCCCCGGCUCACCUGGGGAACUGCGCCGGAAACCGACAGACUCGAGUACCGGAGAGGAGGGUGGAAUUCCUGGUGUAGCGGUGAAAUGCGUAGAUAUCAGGAGGAACACCGGUGGCGAAGGCGGCCCUCUGGACGGAUACUGACGCUGAGGCGCGAAAGCGUGGGGAUCAAACAGG
rnacentral:rRNA from 1 species